GAUGAACGCUAGCGACAGGCUUAACACAUGCAAGUCGAGGGGUAGCAGGAUUUGUAGCAAUACAGAUUGCUGACGACCGGCGCACGGGUGAGUAACGCGUAUGCAACCUACCUAUCAGUGGAGGAUAGCCCGGUGAAAGCCGGAUUAAUACUUCAUGAAGCAGGGGUCCCGCAUGGGACUAUUUGCUAAAGAUUUAUUGCUGAUAGAUGGGCAUGCGUUCCAUUAGUUAGUUGGUAAGGUAACGGCUUACCAAGGCAUCGAUGGAUAGGGGUUCUGAGAGGAAGGUCCCCCACACUGGUACUGAGACACGGACCAGACUCCUACGGGAGGCAGCAGUGAGGAAUAUUGGUCAAUGGGCGAGAGCCUGAACCAGCCAAGUCGCGUGAAGGAUGACUGCCCUACGGGUUGUAAACUUCUUUUAUGUGGGAAUAAAAAGGGGUAUGUAUACCUUAUUGUAUGUACCAUAUGAAUAAGCAUCGGCUAACUCCGUGCCAGCCGCCGCCGUAACAC
rnacentral:rRNA from 1 species